GAUGAACGCUAGCGAUAGGCUUAACACAUGCAAGUCGAGGGGCAGCGCGAGGUAGCAAUACUUUGGCGGCGACCGGCGCACGGGUGCGUAACACGUAUGUAACUUACCUCUUACAAUCGGAUAACACGGUGAAAGUCGUGCUAAUACGGUAUAGUUUCGCAAGCUCGCAUGGGCAUGCGAAUAAAGAUUCAUCGGUAAGAGAUAGACAUGCGGUCCAUUAGAUAGUUGGUGAGGUAACGGCUCACCAAGUCGACGAUGGAUAGGGGGACUGAGAGGUUGACCCCCCACACUGGUACUGAGACACGGACCAGACUCCUACGGGAGGCAGCAGUGAGGAAUAUUGGUCAAUGGACGCAAGUCUGAACCAGCCAAGUAGCGUGCAGGAUGACGGCCCUAUGGGUUGUAAACUGCUUUUAUAUGGGGAUAAAGUGGGGAACGUGUUCCCUUUUGCAGGUACCAUAUGAAUAAGGACCGGCUAAUUCCGUGCCAGCCGCCGCGGUAA
rnacentral:rRNA from 1 species